UGGGGAAUUUUCCGCAGUGGGCGAAAGCCUGACGGAGCAAUACCGCGUGAGGGAGGAAGGCUUUUGGGUUGUAAACCUCUUUUCUCAAGGAAGAAGAUCUGACGGUACUUGAGGAAUCAGCAUCGGCUAACUCCGUGCCAGCAGCCGCGGUAAUACGGAGGAUGCAAGCGUUAUCCGGAAUGAUUGGGCGUAAAGCGUCUGCAGGUGGCUAUGCAAGUCUGCUGUUUAAGAGUGGAGCUCAACUCCAUAAGGGCAGUGGAAACUGCGUAACUAGAGUACGUUCGGGGUAGAGGGAAUUCCUGGUGUAGCGGUGAAAUGCGUAGAUAUCAGGAAGAACACCGGUGGCGAAAGCGCUCUACUAGGCCGUAACUGACGCUGAGGAGCGAAAGCAUGGGUAGCAAACAGGAUUAGAUACCCCCGUAGUCC
rnacentral:rRNA from 1 species